CCUACGGGCGGCAGCAGUGGGGAAUAUUGCACAAUGGGCGAAAGCCUGAUGCAGCAACGCCGCGUGAGCGAUGAAGGCCUUCGGGUUGUAAAGCCCUGUCCUUAAGGAAGAUAAUGACGGUACCUGAGGAGUAAGCCCCGGCUAACUACGUGCCAGCAGCCGCGGUAAUACGUAGGGGGCUAGCGUUAUUCGGAAUUACUGGGCGAAAAGGGUGCGUAGGUGGUUUUUUAAGUCAGAGGUGAAAGGCUACGGCUCAACCGUAGUAAGCCUUUGAGACUGGGGAACUUGAGUGCGGGAGAGGAGAGUGGAAUUCGUGGUGUAGCGGUGAAAUGCGUAGAUAUUAGGAGGAACACCCAUUGCGAAGGCGGCUCUCUGGACUGUAACUGACACUGAGGCACGAAAGCGUGGGGAGCAAACAGGAUUAGAUACCCGAGUAGUC
rnacentral:rRNA from 1 species